rnacentral:rRNA from 1 species
GUGGGGAAUUUUGGACAAUGGGGGCAACCCUGAUCCAGCCAUUCCGCGUGAGUGAAGAAGGCCUUCGGGUUGUAAAGCUCUUUCGUCAGGAACGAAACGGCGGGCUCUAACAUAGCCUGUUAAUGACGGUACCUGAAGAAGAAGCACCGGCUAACUACGUGCCAGCAGCCGCGGUAAUACGUAGGGUGCGAGCGUUAAUCGGAAUUACUGGGCGUAAAGCGUGCGCAGGCGGAUUGUUAAGCAAGACGUGAAAUCCCCGGGCUUAACCUGGGAAUGGCGUUUUGAACUGGCAGUCUAGAGUGCGUCAGAGGGGGGUGGAAUUCCACGUGUAGCAGUGAAAUGCGUAGAGAUGUGGAGGAACACCGAUGGCGAAGGCAGCCCCCUGGGAUGACACUGACGCUCAGGUGCGAAAGCGUGGGGAGCAAACAGGAUUAGAAACCCUUGUAGUCC